AGUUGAGUCCUUCGGGAUGCCAUGGCACCUUGGAUCACCGAGUUCCCCUGAUCAUCGGCUCCAUCCCUCUGCGAGAACACUUCACCAUGUUCCGGCCAGCAGGUCCUUCCCAGCCCCAGCCAUUGCCAUCAACCUCAUACCCAACACAAUGCCACCCUCAGCUCCUCCUGCUGGUUUCAAUGUGUCUCCAUAUAAUCCCAAUAUCCCACCUACACAGCCUGGAUAUGUGGCUCCCACAGCUCCAGUAUUUCCAGGGGUCCUGCAUUAUCCCGAUUUGCCUCCGCCAUCGUAUAACGAGUGCAUGUUUGGGGCGACUGGCAUUGCGGAUGACAGUGAUGAUGAGAGUGGCGGCAAGUUUGCUCCAAAAUACGCAUCUUAUAAUCUUUCAAUGGGUCUAGCAGUAGCUCCACCUCCAUAUAAUGAAUCAAUGCUUCCUCCUGAAAUGGCUGAGGGAAAUGCAGCUUUUGCCCCAGGUGUCAUGAGUGGACAACCAUAAAUAGUGAAAUUUGGAGGUGAAGGCAACUUUUCAUGUAGUUAAAGGCAUGUACAAGAGGGAGAAUUUGAAGAUGGAGAGAUAUGAAAAUUGGAGACAAGAAUAAGAAGAAAAAAAAAACAAGACAUAAAACAGUGUCUGUCUUAUGAGUUUAAAUCUAGUCCAUACAACUGAACCAAGUCCAUGAGGGCAAGCGAGUAAGUUGCCAUUACUGGACUUCUUACUUGUGUCUAUGCGGAAAACAACAAAGUGCCCCUGCUGGGAGUGGAGCCAGUUCACCAGGCAGUGACAGGCAGUGUUAUAAAUGGUCCUUAGACAGUAUUCUUGCCAGCUGCAUAGGUUUGGAUCAGAGUAGCCAUUGAAUUUUAAACCGAUCUUGCUCAGGAUACUUUUUAUUGUGCUGUUAUUGCCGUCAGUUGUAUGGAUAGGGUUCUAGAUGUGUAUUCUGUUUUUAGUUCUGACAUUCCUCUAUACAGCAUUUUGAUCUUCUUACUGGCUGAUCAUAAUAUUAAUUUUAUGCAUAUGGAUGAUUUGUACUUUUUUACAUUGACUGUAAAUCUGAGAGAAUGUUAUAUAGUUAUUGGAUUUUUAAAAUUAAUUAUUGAAAAGAUAGUUUUUUUACAUUUGUAAUGAUGAAUAUGCACACUUUGAAAUAAUAUAUUUCUUUGCUUUGGUGUAUACAAAGUGAUCCUCUGCAAGACUUUUCAUGAUUAAAAAUGAUGUAGAGAUUAUAGAAAAUUUCUAGGUCUCUGGAUUACAUUAUGUGUCAAUUUGAGAUUGAUAACCAUUAUGAGUGCCAUGCACCCAACUGUUCACUAAAUAAACACAGGAGCAAGGCUAGAGAUGAGUAAAGGUGCUUGUUUUAAAAAAUGUCUUCUCUCCUCAAAUAGUGGAGAAACAUUAAUCUAUUAGCAACAAGCAGAUUAUAUUUCUUUACCAGUACUAGACAUAUUUUCUUUAACACUGAAAUUAUAUUUAAAAAAAAUAAAUAUACAUAAAGACUCUUAACCUAUAUUGGUUUCUGGUCAGAUGUCAAAAUAUUACAUAGUCUGUAGGCAUCACUAGUGGAUUUAUUUUUUUUUGUGAUGUUAAUAUUUGAUAACAUGAAUGAGUAUUCUGUUUUAUUCCUCUGAUAACAGAAGUAUAGGGGUUAUCACACAAAAAUAAGUUUUUUGUCCAUUUUAUAUAACCUAGUAUGAAUUCUCUCAUAUAUUGUGUAUUUCCUAUCACACUGGCCUGCCUGCUUCACUAUAUACAUACAUAUAUUUGUAAAGAACAGAAAUGUCCCUUUCAAAGCUUUCAUAGAUGUGUCUACAUUAUAACAGGCCAAGAAUUAUGAUACAUAUUUUGUAUAUUGUACAUCCUCAUUUUUUGUUUGUUUUGUUUUUGUAUGUAUAAAGUUUUGCAGAAGUUAGGCAAGUAAAGUUUAGAUCUGGCUCCCCAAGUUCCCAAGAUACUGCCCCUAGGCCAGGUCUGAAGAGUAUUACUGUCUUUACUGUACUACUGUCUUUUAUUAUAAUCUUGAUGAUAAUAUGAGAAACACUGUAUGUCAGGACCUACCCAUUUAUAUGAUGAAUUAUAUUUUGAUAAGAAAAAAAGAUAACAAUCACAGUUUUUAAAAUAUAAGCACCAUACUUUUGCACUUGACUUCAA